GUGUCCCUUUUGCUGGGUACUUUACUUCCUGGACGCUGGGCCUGGUUGUUUCUUGCCCACCGAGAAGGUCAUCUUCCAGGACUUGAGGGGGUCCCCGGAGGCCUGACCCAUCCCCAGGAUCUGCGGAGAGGAGACAACGCAAGCUAUAAAGAGCGGUUCAGCAUCAUCCCAUCACACAGCUUGCACCAGGAGAUCAGGAAUCCGCAUCUCUGCCUCCAAGAGAGAAAUGAAGCACGCCAGGGCCCGGGAGACCUCAGGGCCUCCCCCACGCCCUCCCUCCAAAGGGGCCUUCAUCCUGAGCUUGGCCUUCAGGACCCUGUGUGUGACGUCACAGUGUUACCUUGCCGACCUCUGUGUGUCCCUGGGCAGGUCACUUAACCUCUCUGUAAGGUGGGGGUGAUGAGUCCCUGCCUUGGAGGCCUGGUGGGAAUAAAUGAGCUGUCUCUCUGUGUGAGGCUCCCAUGAGGGCCUGGCACACAGUAGGCGCCAAGUAAGCGCCGGCUGUGGUCCUUACUGUCCCUGAGCCUCCAGAAGAGGGGACAGAGUGCCAUUGCUGGUGAGAGGGUCACUCGGGGUGAGGCCAGCGGCCACGUCAGCGGCUGACUGUGGUGUGGUGGCGCUCAGGUGUUCUGGUUCAUUCCGUUCCCCUUCCUGUUGGGUUCGCCCUUCCCACCAGCUCUGAAAACCCGGAGUCACCCUGCCCCCAGCCCAAGGCCUGGAGACUGAAGGAUGGGUCUGUGGAGCGAAUGAAGGGGGCUCAGUUUCCUCAUCUGUACAGUGGGUCUUGCAGGCCCAAGGAAUGAGCAAGUGCCUGAGGACAGUGGGCGCUUUGGGAACCCAUCUGUACUUCCUCCCUUCCCAGCUGUGCUCCUCUCCCCCUCCCCUGGGGGGGCGGCCCGGACCCCACCCACCUCAGAACAGGCGUUCUGCCCACAGAGCUGGGCUCCCCACGGACUCAUUCGUUCAUUCAUACCUUCACCCUGUCAGUAAUUUUUUUUUUUAACUUUUUGGCCGCACUCCAUAGGAUGUGGGAUUUUAACUCCCCGACCAGGAGCUCCCCUGCAUGGGAAACACCGAGUCUCAGCUACUCGACCACCAGGGAAGUCCCUCAACAACUUUUUUGAGCACCUACUAAACUCUAGUCUGCAGAGAUAUGGAAACGAAGAAAACAGGCAAAAAUCUCUGUAGAUAUUCUGUUAGUAGAGACAGCCAUCAGAGAUAGUGUGAGUCAAGCUAAGAUUCUCAGGGGCCCAGGUUGUUGAGGGUGGGUGGUCAGGGGAGGCCCUGCCUGCCUCAGUCUGGGCACUUGGGGAAGGCUGUGCGUUCAGACCAGAGGAUGUAGCCAGGUGAAGAGUGGGUGGGGGUGUCCUAGGCGCCAGGGCUGGCCCCUGCAGCAGAUGGGGGAGUGGGCGUGGCAACUGGGGGACCCACCUCUGGCUUGGCCUGGAUGGGGGCAGGGAGAGAGAGGGCAGUGGGGAGCUGGAAAAGGCCUGACCCGACUUAGGUUUUACCGUUGCUCCAGCCACUGCGUGGAGCCGGGACUGGGGGACCACGGUGGCUGGAGGCAGGCAGACGGGAGGGGAGCCUGGAGUCCUGUCCACCCAUCAGAGAACAGGAGGGAGGUCAAGUAACCCCGGAGAUAGGCCCAGGAUGUGGCAGCUGCGGAUUCCUCCCUUCUUCUGGGGAACUGGAUCAGGCAUCAGCAUCACCUCCAGCAUCACCUCCAGCAUCACCUCCAACAUCAUCCUCCAGCAUCACCUCCAGCAUCACAUCCAGCAUCACCACCAUCACCUCCAGCAUCACCUCCAACAUCAUCCUCCAACAUCACCUCCAGCAUCACCUCCAAAUUCAUCCUCCAGCAUCACCUCCAGCAUCACCACCAAGACAACACUUGGGCAGUGGCUGUCCGCCAUUGCACUGCUCACUCCUGUCUGGCCAGGCACUUCCGAGAUGGGACCUCCUUGCAGUUCCACAUGGCGUGACGUCCCACGAGGGUGUUCAUAGCACAUUUAGCACCAGCCCAAGAUUGAAAUCAGAGAAGGCA